ACGGGAGGCAGCAGUGGGGAAUAUUGCACAAUGGGCGAAAGCCUGAUGCAGCUAUGCCGCGUGUAUGAAGAAGGCCUUAGGGUUGUAAAGUACUUUCAUCGGGGAGGAAAAAACAAAACUAAUAAUUUUAUUUCUUGACGUUACCCGAAAAAGAAGCACCGGCUAACUCCGUGCCAGCAGCCGCGGUAAUACGGAGGGUGCUAGCGUUAAUCAGAAUUACUGGGCGUAAAGAGCACGUAGGUGGUUUUUUUAAGUCAGAUGUGAAAUCCCUGGGCUUAACCUAGGAACUGCAUUUUGAAACUGAAAUACUAGAGUAUCGUAGAGGGAGGUAGAAUUCUAGGUGUAGCGGUGAAAUGCGUAGAUAUCUGGAGGAAUACCUGUGGCGAAAGCGGCCUCCUAAACGAAUACUGACACUGAGGUGCGAAAGCGUGGGGAGCAAACAGGGAUUAGAUACC
rnacentral:rRNA from 1 species